rnacentral:rRNA from 1 species
GACGAACGCUGGCGGCGUGCCUAACACAUGCAAGUCGAGCGGAGAACGACGAGCAGCUUGCUGCAAGUUGUUCUUAGCGGCGGACGGGUGAGUAACGCGUGGGCAAUCUGCCUCAAACAGGGGGAUAACACAGGGAAACUUGUGCUAAUACCGCAUAAAACCACAACAUGGCAUCAUGAAGUGGUCAAAGGAGAAAUUCCGGUUUGAGAUGAGCCCGGUCUGAUUAGCUAGUUGGUGAGGUAACGGCUCACCAAGGCGACGAUCAGUAGCCGAACUGAGAGGUUGAUCGGCCACAUUGGGACUGAGACACGGCCCAGACUCCUACGGGAGGCAGCAGUGGGGAAUAUUGCACAAUGGGGAAACCCUGAUGCAGCGACGCCGCGUGAAGGAAGAAGGUCUUCGGAUCGUAAACUUCUAUCAGCAGGGAAGAAGGAAGUGACCAGUACCUGAGUAACGAAGCCCCGGUCUAACUACGUGCCAGCAGCCGAC